CCUCGUGGCGCGUGCUCAAAUCUCGGUGAUACGCAACGAGUUCCAGGGGAAGCCGGUCGAAGUCCGGCGCUGACCCGCAACCGUGGGCCCGGUCCGCCGGGCGAGCCGGAAUGCCUGGAGCGUGCUCAACAGC
rnacentral:ncRNA from 2 species